rfam:Asticcacaulis sp. AC466 contig00023, whole genome shotgun sequence.
GGAGGUUGGGAAGGCUCCCCGACAGCGCGUUGCGCCCUCGGGGAUUUUGUUU